UGCCUACGGGGGGCAGCAGUAGGGAAUAUUGGACAAUGGGUGAGAGCCUGAUCCAGCCAUGCCGCGUGCAGGAAGAAGGCGUUAUGCGUUGUAAACUGCUUUUGCCAGGGGAUAAAAAAGGCGUGCGCGCUUAAUUGAAGGUACCUGGUGAAUAAGCCACGGCUAACUACGUGCCAGCAGCCGCGGUAAUACGUAGGUGGCAAGCGUUGUCCGGAUUUAUUGGGUUUAAAGGGUGCGUAGGUGGCCCUGUAAGUCAGUGGUGAAAUAUCUCAGCUUAACUGAGAGGGUGCCAUUGAUACUGCAGGGCUUGAGUACAGAUGAGGUAGGCGGAAUUGACGGUGUAGCGGUGAAAUGCAUAGAUAUCGUCAAGAACACCGAUAGCGAAGGCAGCUUACCAAGCUGUAACUGACACUGAGGCACGAAAGUGUGGGGAUCAAACAGGAUUAGAUACCCCAGUAGUC
rnacentral:rRNA from 1 species